GCUAAAAAUAGCACGCGAACCCUCUGGCUGUAAGAACCUGUUCAGAAGAUGAAAAGGGGUUAACCAUAAGGAAAGAUCCUUGAAAUGAUGAAACUACAUGAUAAAGGCAAAUAUAUUGAUACACACACAUCUUGGAAAACUCCUUACCAACCAUGUUUUCAUUGGAAUUCCUUAAAUUAUGGAAUAUAACCUCAAAGGGGAUUGUUUAUUCAAGGUUUAUGGAAACUCUAUUUACUUGUGGCUCGCAGAUGAAUUCUAAAUGAUGCUAGGAACGCCAAAUCCAAAAGAAAAGCCCAUGUGGAAAAAAGGUGGCAUUUAGGACUCAGACAGCCCACAUUAUAAGGAAAUCCCAGUGCUUCAGUGGAGAAUGAAUAAUUUCAUUAAGUCUUUCUGCUGGAAUGGGUCCUAUAGAAAAUUCAGAGCACAGGUGGUGGAACAUGUCACAGAGAGUAACAGAGGUGCAGGUGAGGCAGGUGCGAAUACCUGUAAGAAACUGAACCUGGGAAUAUGAAACAUUUCAACAAUUAACUUAUCAUUUCUUUCUGCCGAGUUUCCCUGUGAUGUCCAAGAACUGGAUUGCUAAUGAAAACUUUCUGGACUAUUGUACUUUGCAGUUUUAGAUGUUUUCCAUUUAUAUAAAUUAAGGCUGUCCGCAAUAAAACAACUAAUAUUUUUGACUACCGCUUACGUGUAGAGAGAACCUUUGAACUUGGGAGUCCUGGGCAUGUUUGAAACAGCAUACAAACUAGAUUGCAAGUAAGAUCAUUUUUGUGUACAUUCAAUAGUUAACAUCAUUGAAUAAUCCCUGAACUUUUAUGUUUCAAUGUCUUGAAUAAAAUUUAAAGCUUUGUGAGUCUGAGAAUAUCUUUCAUAACUGAAAGAGGAAAAAAUAUGUCUAGCUGUCGAUAACCCACA
rnacentral:lncRNA from 1 species